rnacentral:rRNA from 1 species
UACGUAGGGUGCGAGCGUUGUCCGGAAUUACUGGGCGUAAAGAGCUCGUAGGUGGUUUGUCGCGUCGUCUGUGAAAUUCCGGGGCUUAACUCCGGGCGUGCAGGCGAUACGGGCAUAACUUGAGUACUGUAGGGGAGACUGGAAUUCCUGGUGUAGCGGUGAAAUGCGCAGAUAUCAGGAGGAACACCGGUGGCGAAGGCGGGUCUCUGGGCAGUAACUGACGCUGAGGAGCGAAAGCAUGGGGAGCGAACAGG